UACAGAGGGUGCAAGCGUUGUUCGGAAUUAUUGGGCGUAAAGCGCGUGUAGGCGGCAUGGCAAGUCGGGUGUGAAAGCCCUCAGCUUAACUGAGGAAGUGCGCCCGAAACUGCCGUGCUUGAGUGCCGGAGAGGGUGGCGGAAUUCCCCAAGUAGAGGUGAAAUUCGUAGAUAUGGGGAGGAACACCGGUGGCGAAGGCGGCCACCUGGACGGUAACUGACGCUGAGACGCGGAAGCGUGGGGAGCAAACAGG
rnacentral:rRNA from 1 species